GCUUUUUCUCUUAGUUUUUGUAAGUCUUCUAUAUUAUUUUUAAGAUAUUCUAAAUAUUCUAUAUCUUUUGUUUUAAAAUAUUCAAUUAAAUUUGUUUUUAUAAUCAAUUUAUUUAUUUAUCCAAUUUGGACAUUUCCACGAGUCAACUUGGGCCACUCUUUUUCUUAUGGAUUACUUUGGACUGCCCAAAUAAGCCUUCAACAAACUACAUUUUACCGAUAUACGAUAAACUUUGGCGAGUUAUAGACUUUUAGGUCAAUUAUGCAACCCUUAGACUUUUAUCAGCACAAGCAUCAUCAUCAAAAUUCAAGAGUGGCAAUAUUGACCCAAUAAUAUAUAACCCACCCAACCUGCCUAAGUUUUAACCAAGGACCAAAUGUAUUUUGUAGGUGGACUGAUUUAUGCUAUGCACAGGUAACCCAUUAAAAACAUUACCAAAACCCGUGGAGACAUCCAACACCAACCUGUUUGAAUUUCCCAACUUCACUCGUGAACUUGUGCCAUAACUAGGUAAUAGCCCCCCAACCCCCCACAAUGCACGCCAAUCCGAUAGUAAGAUGAGUUCAACCCUUUCUCUUCCUUUUAUUCCUAAUUUAAACACUGCUCUCCGUACAUCUCACUUAUGGAAUUAAACUAGGUGCAUUGUCAUUGUUUUUUACUAAGUACAUUGUUAUCUGGAGGAUGCGAUUAGGAUAGAAGGUUAGUGAUAGUUUGGGUCGUUGGGGUAGGGCAUAACUGGGUGGGUGUACUUUUCUUAUUAUGCCACAUUGUUGCAUGCCUUAUUACGUAUUUGUUUACUAUUCUUUGUUUAUUAUCCUUUGUGGGUGGAGUAGUUAUGUCUUCUCAUCUUGUUCCACACUUUAUUUCGGAUUUAAUUAUUAUCUUGUGUCUUGAGCUGGGAGUUUAUCGGAAAUAGCCUCUCUACCUCAUCAGAGGUAGUGGUAUGGACUGCGUACAUCUUACCCUCCACAGACCCCACUAUGUGGGAAUACACUGGGUUUCUUGUUGUUGUAUAUGUUUUAUCAAUGCUCACAAUUGCCAAUUCAAUUAGUUCCUGAAGUUAAAUUCUAAUUUUUCUCUACUAUUUGUUCUCUAUUGUUUUUACGAAAAGGGGUCUAAAAUGUCCUUCAACUAUCUAAAAUGGUGCAAAAAUGUGUUUCAUUUACCUAUUGGGCCUAAAAUGCCCUUCAACUAUCUAAAAUAUUGCAAAAAUGCCCUCUUCGUCUACCUAUAGGGCCUAGUUUGCCCUUUUAUUUAACAGAUUAAGUUAUUGAAGGACAUUGUAUGCCCAAUAGGUAGAUGGAGGGCAUUUUUGCACCAUUUUAGAUAGUUAAAGGGCAUUUUAGGCCCUUUUCUAUAUUUGCUAUAUAAAAAUUUUAUAAAAAUUUAAUAAAAAUAAACAAAAAUAAAAAUUAAAUUUAAAAAGCGACGGACAACGUCGUUUUAUAAAAAAUUAAUUUUUAUUUAGUUUUAAUAAAAGCGACGUUGUCCAUCGCUUUUCGUAAAAAUAAAAAAAAUAAAAAAUAAUUACAAAUUGCGAUGGACAACAUCGCUUUUCUAGAAUUAAUAUUUUUAAAAAAAAAAAAAAUUAUAGUGACGUUGUCCGUCACUUUUAAUAAAAAUAAACAAAACUAAAAUUAAAUUUAAUAAGCGACGGACAACGUCGCUUUUCAAAAAAUUAAUUUUUAUUUAGUUUUAACAAGCGACGUUGUCCAUCGCUUUUUGUAAAAAAUAAAGAAAAAUUAAAAAUAAUUACAAAUUGCGACGGACAGCGUCGCAUUUCUAGAAUUAAUAUUUUAAAAAAUAAAAAUUAUAGCGACGUUGUCCGUCGCUUAUAAUAAAAAUAAACAAAAAUAAAAAUCAAAUUUAAAAUUCGACGGACUACGUCACUUUUCAAAAACUAAUUAUUAUUAUUAUUUGUCAAUAAAUUACGACGCUACAUGUAAACUAAUUAUAGAUGAAAAUGCAUUUAUAAUUUUUUUUAAUAAAUGCAACGAAUAGCAUCAUAAUUUUAAUAAGGUAUUUCUAGAAAAGCGACACUGUCUAUCGCAAUUUGUAAUUAUUUUUAAUUUUUCUUUAUUUUUACAAAAAGCGACGAACGUCUCUUUCUUUAAAACUAAAUAAAAAUUAAUUUUUUGUAAAGAGACAUUGCCCAUUGUUUUUUAAAUUAAAUUUUUAUUUUUGUUAUUUUUAUUAAAUUUUUAUAUAGUAUGUACGGAAAAGGGCCUAAAAUGUCCUUCAACUAUCUAAAAUGGUGCAAAAAUGUCCUUCAUCUACCUAUUGGGCCUACAAUGCCCUUUAAUAACUUAAUUUGUUAAAUGAAAGGGCAAACAAGGCCCUAUAGGUAGACGAAGAGGGCAUUUUUGCACCAUUUUAGAUAGCUGAAGGGCAUUUUAGGCCCAAUAGGUAGACGUAGGGCAUUUUUGCACCAUUUUAGAUAGUUGAAGGGCAUUUCAGGCCCUUUUCCGUUAUUUUAAAGUUUUUUACAAAUAUGGAAAAUUGACUUCAGCUCACUUUCUUGAAGUAUAAGUGUGUUCUAUGUAUUAUUUCAUGAAAGAGAUUUUCUAAAAGCUUGUUCAUUGAUACUAUUAAAGACACAGCUGGUAGUACUAAUAAAUGCUAAUUUAGUAUAUAUGUAAUAUUUCUAUAAUUUAAAGAAAUAGUACGAAGCCACAACAGUUGCUAGAGAAACUAGUAUUUCAUAAUAUUUCUUCAGUUUUGUGCUAAGAUAAAGAGACUAUUUGGAUGGGCUAAGAUAAAGAGACUAUUUGGAUGGGCUUACAGCUUUUGGCUCAUACGUUAGGAAUUCUCGCUUACAGCUUAUUUUUUACUUAAAAUAAGUGAUCAAAAAGAACUUUUUUAUUUUAUCCAAACACUAUAAAAAUGCUUAAAAGCACUUAAAUAAGCUAAAUCCAAACAGGCUCUAAAUCUAUAUACUAUAUGAAAAAACAUGAAGGUUUUUUAAAAUGUUGAUUGAACUUUGUGCGAUUCAUAUUAAAAGACACUUCAAUAGACAAAUAAUUGUCAUUUAAUUAUUCACUAUUUUCCUCAAAUAAUUGUCAUUUAAUUAUUAUUCUAAUAUUUAGGACUUUGAAAUUAAUUUAAGUUACAACAAUUAAAUUUUACUUAUUUGUAGGAUGUAAGAAUUAUAAUAUUGAGUACUUUAAUAUUGACUGAAAUUAUGCUUCUUAAAUCUUUCCUCAUUGGAACUAUAUUAAAAGUUGGUCAUAAAAUCUUUACGCAUUCAAACUAAAUAGAGCUCAAUUAGAAAUUCCUAGAUUUUGGAGUGUUCUUACAUAGUUCAAAUAAGUAAAGAGUUUAGGACUUCUAAUAUAACUCAAAUAAACCGAUAAAUGAAUUGGCAGAGGUUGUCAAUUUGGCAGCAAUUUUGGGUGGAAGAGUAGGUGAGCUACCAACCACAUAUUUAGGCAUGCCUUUGGAAGCCAAAAGCCAAGUCUAAAGGGAUUUGAAAUGAAGUAAUUGAAAAGUGUGAGAAGAAGCUUACCCACUGAAAGAGUCAAUACCUCUCUUUAAGAGGAAGAUUGACUAUGAUUAAUAGUGUGCUUGAUGUACUUCCAACAUAUAUGAUGUCAAUCUUCCCAGCACCAAACAAUGUGAUAAAGAGGAUAGAUGUCCUAAGAAGAAACUUUCUCCGGUAGGGGAAUGAAGACAAGAAAAAAUUUCACUUGGUCAAAUGAGAGGUGGUAACAAAAAGCAAGAAAGGAGGAGGAAUAGGGAUCAAGGAUAUGAAAAUGCAAAAUAGGAGCCUAAUGAUGAAAUGGCUUUGGAAAUUUGUUACAGGGAAAAAUAUGUUAUGGAAAGAGGUAAACAGGGAAAAAUAUAAAAUAGAGGAGGGGAAAAUAUGCUAUGGAAAGAGGUAAACGGGGAAAAAUAUAAAAUAGAGGAUAAGUGGAUAAUAAAGAUUGUGGUUACUCCAUACGGAUGCAGCAUUUGGAGAUCCAUUUGGAAUCUUUGGCCACUAGUUUUAUCCAGGAUUAGUUUCAAAGUAGGGAAUGGUCAGAAAGUAUUAUUUUGGUAGGACAAACGGAUAGAUCAGAGGCACCUGAAAUAGCUUUACCCAGACAUUCACAUCCUAAGCCUACAGCAACAGGUCACUCUAUCUGAAAUGUGGACAGGACAGGGAUGGAAUUUGCAGCUUAGAAUAAAUUUAAAUGAUUGGGAGAUGGAGAUGAUAGGUGCUUUCUACAGUACUAUAAAAUCAUUUAACAAUCUAACAAGGGAAGAGGACACAACGGUAUGGAAGAUUGGCAGUAAAGGGAAGUAAAGGGAUUUUUAGUGUAAACUCUGCAUACAAAGAUCUCAUCAUCUCACAAACAGGAGAACUCUCACCAUGGAAAUGAUAUGGAGGGUCAAAAUCCCCUACAAAGUCAACUAUUUCUCGUGGUUGUUGGCUAAGGAAGUAAUGCUAACACAAGAAAAUAUGAAGAAAAGAGUUUCCAACUAUGUUCUAGAUGUUAUUUAUGUGGGAAACAAGUCAAGACAGUUAACCAUCUCUUUUUACAUUGCAAAUGGAUGGAUAAGCUUUGGAGGAUAUUCAUCAGCCAAAGGAAGAUUACUUGGGUAAAACCAAGAAACAUUGAAGGUGUUCUUAAGUGUUGGAUCAGAGUGGGAAAUACUACAGAAAAGGAGAGAUGGAAGAUUGUCCCAAAGGUGGACAAUAUGGAAAGAAAGAAAUCAAAGGUGUUUUAAAGGCAAACAGAAUAAUUUACAGAAUUUUAAGAUGAAUUGUCUAUCGGAAACAGCCUCUCUACUUCUUCGGAGGUAGUGGUAUGGACUGCGUACAUCUUACCCUCCCCAGACCUCACUUUGUGGGAAUACACUAGGCUUUGUUGUUGUUGUUGUUGUAUUUUAAGAUGAAUUGUUUAGCUCUUUAUUAUUUUUGGUGUGAACAGAAAGUGUUAGGACAAACAGAAGAUAGUUUUGAUGUACUAGACUAUUUGUGACAAAAAGUACAAAUAGGAAUCAAAUAGUUUCUGUAAUACUUUUGGAAGGGGGACUACACAUUUUUGAUGUAGUACACCUGUGUAUAUAUAGAUAAAAAGUUACCUUUCCAAAAAAAAAAUCAAUUUAAAAUACUAAAUAGUAGUUCUUCAUCUUACAAAUAAGUAAAGAUUUAAUAGUUAUAACGUUAAUUAAUUUCAAAGUCCUAAAUAUUAGGAUAAUAAUUAAAAAAUUAAUUAUUUGAGGAAAAUAGUAAAUGACAAUUUUGUCUAUUGUGGAGUCUUUAAUAAAGAGAAAAAAGUUCAACCAAUAUUUCUAAGGGCCUUCAUUUUUUUAAUAUAGUAUAGCUAAAGAUUAUAGAUAUGGUCAAUGUGUGGUAAAUUUGCUCCUAUUAGUAUAUUUAGUGACAAAACUUCUUAUGAUUCUUCCAUUCGGUUUUUCUUUUCCUAUUUGAUAGUGUUGAUUAAGAUCUGUUUCUUCUUCGUAAAGAAUAAUGGAAUAGAAAUCUUCAACUGAUUUCGGUUAAUUUGAGUAAGAAAUUGAGUAUAAUCACCAAAGUUUUCUAUUGGAUCUUAUAUAUUUGAUAGCUAGGUCACAAGUUUUGAGACUUGAGGUACAAUUGCUAGAUAAAUUUUUCCGUUAAUAUUUUUUACGUUGGCACAAUAUUUGUGUUGAGGAUUGUCAUGGAACUUUGGCCAAAUUAAUUUUAAGACAAUAUUCCUAAGUUGGGGUCUAUCGGAAACAGCCUUUCUACUUCAUCUGAGGUAGUGGUAUGAAUUGCGUACACUUUACCUCUCAAAACCCCACUUUGUUGGAAUACACUGGGUAUGUUGUUGUUGUUGUUAUCAAGCUUUUUUAUUUUGUAAAUAUUAUUUAUGAUAAUUAUAUCAUUAGAUUACUAAGAGAAGUAGUGGGUCAGAGCGGAUUGGUGAACGCUGAAUGUGUUUGCAAUUUUAAUUGCAUAUAAGUUAAUUUGCUAGUAAGUUACAGGACAAUCAAAUAACUGCUGAAGAAAUUACACAGGUUAAACAAAUCAUCUAAGGAGUAGUAAUGAAAUAACUGAAUCUGCCUUGUAGAUUAACUGACACAACCAGUAGAGAGCUGGUUGAGAAUCUCAAUUAAUGCCUCAAAAGAGAAUGAACAAAAGGUCAAGUUAUAUGUGUUGUGUUAUGACUCAUUGUUUAGCCCAUUUAGACCCAAGUUAACUUUGGGCUGGUUGGUCAUGAUUCAUACUUACUGAUUUAGUCCAUUUGACAGAAAAAGGAAAUUAUUAUUAAUUUUUUUUAAAACAAGUAAAAUCUUCUACCCACAAACUAGGGUCCAAAUACUUUUACUUAUAAGCUCUCUGAGACAUAGUUCUCUGCAUUGCAAUACAUACUCUCUAAGUUUUAAUCAUCUUUUAUGGACUAAAAUGACUGUUAAAUAUUUAUCUUAAACUAGCACGAGUAUUACAAGCCCCUCAAACUUUAUAAAAAGGAUUUUUCCUAAAUCCGUUUGUAUAUUAGCUAAAGUACUCUUCACAACUAUAUAUUAUGAUGAUGACAUGAUAUGAGCUCAAAUGAAGAAAUGAGGAUUUUUAUAACCAACCCAAACUUGUUUGGACUGAGGAGUUGUUGAUGUUGUAGUUGUUGUUGUACUCUUCACAGCCUAUCUACCCUGUCUCUUCCCCAACCUCUGGUGACCCCAUCCAGCGACCUUUCACGGCUCUACCCUAGCCCCCAAGCUAGAAUUGUAAGAAUUAUCAUGCAGUAAGAAUAUUUUGAUUGGGUCAAAAACUUAAGAAUUGUUAUUCUUUAGUACACAAUGAUCAAACAGCCUCGGAAAAAUAAAGAACUGGAUGUAUAUGAACUGCUAUCUAAACCUAGAAACUGAUAGAGGUCCAGCAUAAGCGCAUGACACAAAAUAUAAGGAAGAAAAGAUCAUUGUUUUCUGCUAUUUUUGAGUGAAAAGGCAACUGCAAUUUAAAAUUACCAAAUAAAAAUUCAUUUAACUGCAACCAGAUCACUUAUCCUCCGACCAAAAGGAAACAAAAAUUUCUAAAAUGAAAAUACUGAAUAAUUUACCUGCUGAUAUUUUGAGACACAACGAUCAAUGCAGGUAUUUUCACCCAUAUAUAGCUCACCUUCUCUGUACUUUGUCGAGACACACUUGUUGAAGCAUGUAUGGGUUAGCCUAGAUUACAAAACAAGAAACAAGUUCAAAAAUUUUGUACAUACGUCUUCUACUGAAGGAACUACACCACAAUACUGGGGUUGAAUUAGAAGAAAACUGAAUGUAUGGAUAAUUAAUUUUAUUUAUGAGCUCCAAGAUUUUCUUUUGUGUUGUUAGGUUACUGCAAAAGAGACUUGUGACUCAAAUAGUCAUGUUUUGGAACAUCUUACUGAGGGAUGGAUUUAGGGAGUCGUGAGGGUGUUCACACGAACCCCCUCGACAAAAAAAUACACGGUAUAUAUAAGGUAAUUCUUUUAUUUUAAAAAUAUAUAUAUAUAAAAAGAUUGGCUCAAUGGUUCAGGGAGUUCAAAUUUUACACUGAGGUUCCAGGUUUAAAAUCCUAGGCACUACAUUUUUAUUUCUUCCUAGAACUCUAGAUCCGCCACUGACCUUACUUGUUAAAAAAUUCAACUCUAUACUCCAUCUCCUUCUCGGCCAUGCCAAAAAUCUGCAUACAUAAGGAAAAGGGAGGGGGUGUAAGAUCACUGAGAAAGUUUUAGCUUGAAAAGUUCCGCAUUCAGCAUCUCACGUAGAAUGCAAAUAUUUAGAAACUUAGAAGGUAGAAUUACUAACAAAAGUGUGAUAACCACACAGAAAGAAAGAUUCCUUGUAGAUAAAUAUAGACAAAAUGAUAAACACGUCACAAAAGUAAAGAACCUUCUCCGUGUCAACUUCUGUUGGAAAGUUAUUAGCAGCCAUCUCUACAAAGCUGUGAGACAAAAAACAACACUUUAGAUCAAAAAGUGCAGUUACAGGUCUGAUCACAAUAAAAAAACAAAGGGCAAAAUAUGCUAAAGGAUCUUCCCUUAUAACCGAGACAUCCUGAGGGCCAGUGAUGCACGGUUCGAAACUCAGUGGAUAAUGGGACCUCUCUCCUAUCCUUCUCCACUUAAAUACUACGCUUGUCUGCAGCAAGGUUCGAACACACGGCAUGCGCCUAGUUCACUUAUCACAAACUACGGUCUUACCACUAGACCAAAGCCCUGACGGCAAAUAUGAUAAAAGAACUCUAUCCUAAUAAACCCGAGGAAUAUGAGGAUGACGUUCAAUCUGUGUAAUGAAUCUACUGUAUUAAGUGUACCAAUUGCUACUGCACCCACUGCCUUCACCUCAAUAUUGUUUCAAAAGUGCAAUUAUAGUUCUGUAUCAUAAUAGACAUGCAGAAAAUGUGCUAAGAAAACUUUAGCGUAAGAUGACACACUCAAUCACCAUACGUUUAUGCCCUGAGAACUGAACCUGCUAUAUAUCAAAAUACAUUUAUGCCUAGUGGUCAAUCAAGUGGAUCGAGACCACGAGGUCUAGUUCAAAUCCCCUGAGGCAAAAGAAAACACUAGGUGAAUUCUUUCCUUAGGGCUGCAUAUCGAUCGGUUCGAUUCGGUUUUGAAAAUUAUCGGUUUUACUUAUUCAUUAUCGGUUUGUAUAUAUGCUAAACCGUUAAAGAACCGUUAAGAUAUCGAUUAAUCGGUUAUCGGUUUAUCGAUUUUUCAUUGUUAUCAGCACGGUUAUCGGAUUAACCAUUAACAUUAAACAUAUCUAAUUUGAAGUCCAAAGCUAGUAAGCAACUUCCUCAUAAUCAUGAAAUACUUUUCAAAAUGAUGUCCCCAUAUGUUCCAGUUCAAUGCAUUCUAAUUCAGAUUAUUAAUAGAGAAUUUAGAGAAGAUCAAAGAUUCAAUGAAAGUUUCUUUCUUGGUUAUUUAGGUAACUCUUGAAGUGAAGGGUGAAGCCCAGAUAUUGAACUUGGCAGAAAAGCUAAAAGCUGGGGGCAUUGCUCAUAAACUGUAGAUUGAACAACCAGAAAACAUACCAACCUGUCUUGCUACAAAACCCUAUCUAAAAUCCAUAGUAUCUUCAUUUUUCAAGAAGCUAAAACUAUGUAAAUGAUGAAUUUCAAGUGCAACUGUUAAUGUGAUACUGACACAAGUUGGCUUAGUUUUGGUGCUAUUGAAUUGAAAUUAGUUUUGCUAAUGAUGAGCUACGCUAUUUGCAGUGAUUAAUAUUUCUUGCUGAGCCCUUUGACCUGUGCAUGCGGUUCAUCUAGAUUUAUAAUCUGGUGAUUCUGGCCAGAUGAGCAUCGGUCUUAUUUUCAUCUAUAUGCCAUGAAUAAAAAAGACAAAGGGUCACAACAAUAAGCAAAACACGUCCCUUUCUUAAAUGACCAUUUCUUAAAUGCUUUUACAUUAGUACUAUGCGAUGAAAAUACAGCAACUAAUUCCAACAGCAACAGCAACCAACUAAUGCAACACAGCAACAACAGCGACCCAACAUCACGGACACAAACAAAUUCCAGAAACCAGAAAUUCAAUUAUGCAAAUUCCAGAAAACAGUGAAAAAUUGCAAAUUCCAGAAACUUGAGAAAAAACCCAUAAUUCACCCACCAGCAAACAAAUCAGCAAAAAAUCCUAAACCCUAAAAAUUCAAUUAUGACAACUCCAAUUCACAAAACCCCAAAUUAAUCACCACAAAAAAAAGUCAACACUUUCAGUCCAAAUACUUCAAACAAACACUUAACAUAGACAUACACCAAAAAUCCCAAAUCACAACGAACAUGAAUUAUUACCUGUGAGCACAACAACAACAGCCGAGCAGCAAAUCGUCUUUGGACGCCUCUAAUCUCUUGAGUUUUCAGCAAAUGUUAAGCUUGAACCUUGAAUCUCUUCAGUUUUCAGCAAAUCGUCUUUGACCGUCUUUGGAUCUACUGAUAUUAUUGGUUUGAGAGACAGAGAGAGUGAGAGAGUGAGAGGCGUAGUGACUGCCUUGUGAAAUCAGAAAUGAAAUUCACCAAAUUGUCUUUGGGUCUAUUGAUAUUAUCGGACUUUGAGAGAAAGGCAGAGUGAGAGAGUGAGAGAGUGAGAGGCGGAGUGAAAUCAGAAAUGAAAAUAUGAAAUGUGAUAUGUGAAUCCCUUUCUCCCUAGGGUAAGUAAUGACGGUGGGCUGAGCUUGGGAAAUAAGAUUUAAAUAUUUAAAUAAAAAUUACACAUAUACAUUACUUAUGUUCUAAUAUUAUAAAAAAAAUCUCAACUUCCUAAAUAUAUUACAAAAAUUCACAUAUAUAUAAAAUGCUAUGUAUAUAUCGGCUAUGUAUUAAUAAAAAAAGAAAGUAAAAUAAUUAAAAAAGUAUAAUUACUUUUAACAAGUUGAUAUUUAUGCUAUUUAUAUAAUUCAUUAAUUGGUUGGGCCCAUGGGAAGUUAGGAAAUGUAAUUAUAAUUGACAUAUUUGACAAUCGGGUUAUCGGGUAGCCUAAUAUAAAUUUUAGGAAAAUUGCCAGUCGAACCGAUAACCCGAUAAUAAAAAAUUUAAAAUCGACACCCGACCCGAUAAGUUAAAACACCAAAUUGUUAACUCGAUAAAUAAAUUAUCGAUUCGGUUAAUGGUUUGAACCGAAAUCUGCACAGUCCUACUUUACAUCUUGCUUGUCUUGGUGGACAGAGUAACUUUAUUGGUGGGAGGGGGAAGGUAACCCUUGGAAUCAGUCGAGAUGCAUGGAAGCUAAACCAAACACUACAAUUAUCCUAAAAAGAAGUGCACACACUGCCUUGAAUUUCGUAAGCAGUUCUAUUUGCCCACUCACUAGAUCAUAUUGCCAACUCUCUAUGUAUAUACAGUAGAGACAAUAUCAAGUCAUCAUUUACUGGCUAACGAACAGGGGGUAGAAGAAAAAAAAUUCUAAUAAGGGGAUUCAAGAAAAUCCAAAUUCCAAAUGAGUUGAAUACACUUUAACUACACUAAUGGGAUUGAACAAUUUAUACAUGUAAAACAAAAGUUCAAUUUUUUGUGCCAAUUAUACCAAGUAACUUUACAUCGAAGAAGAUUAAAUUGAACCCUCUUCACAACACUUAACCCUGCCACUAUAAAUUCAAUCUACCGAAUUUAAAUGUCGUCAUUAUGACCUUUUGCCUUGGGAAAAGAACUUGGGCAGAGUCAAAAAUUCUAAUAUGGGUAUUCAAGAAAAUCCAAACUUACGAGUGAAUACACUUAACUAAACCAAUGGGAUUCAACAAUCUACACAUGUACAAAAAAGUUCAAUUUUUUAUGCUAAGUUUACCAAGCAACUUUCCAAUAAAGGGGAUUCACCUAAACCCUAUUCACAACACUUACUAAAAAAAAGUUCAGUUUUUACAAUACUUUCCAAGAAAGGGGAUUUAAUUGAAUCCUCUUCCCAACAUUUAACCCUGCCACUACAAAAAAAGUUAAGUUUAUUACACUAAUUAUACCAAAUAACUUCCCAAUAAAGGGAAUUCAACUAAAUCCUUUUCACAACAUUUGCCCCCGCCAAUUCAAAAAAAAUUGAGUUUAUAACACUAAUUAUACCAAGUAACUUCCCAACGAAGGGAAUUCAACUAAAUCCUCUUCAUAGUACUUACCCCCUCAACUACAAAAAAGUUUAGUUUUUUGCGCUGAAGAUAAGCAACAACCAAAAAGUUUGUCUUUUAUGCUAAUUAUACCACCUAAAUUUCCAACAAAUGGGAUUCAAUUAAACCCUCUUCACAACACUUAACAGCCCCCCACCCCACCACCAAGUGGAACCUAUUUCUACUCAAACAAAAAAAAUGCAUAAUGAUGAUAUUUUACAUACUAUAGAUAUAAAAAGGGGCAGACGAUAAACUAAAGCUCCAGCUAUGUGCGAGCUCGGGAAAGAACGAACUACAAGAUUUUAUUGGAGGAUUUGCAUAUUACAGUGAUAAAAAAAAGGUUAGUCUAGUGCACUUAAACUCCAACUAUGUGUGGGGUUGGGGAAGGCCAAACCACGACAGCUUAUUGUAUGAUAUUAUUUAUACUACAGAUAAAAAAUUCUAAAUUUUUAUAAUUAAACAUGAAAGCAAAACGAAAAGUGGAGAAAUUUACCGAUACUUUGGUGUUUCGGACAGAGAGAAGGAAGGGUGUUUGGUUUUAUAACGGUUUAACUAGGGUUUUUCUUUGACGUGAACGGAAGGUUUUGAAGGGUAUAUGCUGACUCGGCCCGAAUUAUAUGGGGUCUUGACCCGGUUAAGUUUUUGCCCCAUGGUUAAAGAAUAAUUUUGGAAUUAUGUUGUUAAUUAAGGAUAAUUUUGCUAGGAAAAAUAAUGAAACACGUUAUUUUUCCUCAAAAAUGCUUAUUUUACAAAAGGGAAAAGGGUUAAAUAUACCCCUUAACUUUGCGAAAAGGUCCAAAUAUACCCUCGUUACAAGUUUGGUCCAAAUAUGUCCUCGCUGUUAAAGUUUAGGAACAAAUAUACCCCUUAACUUUGCGAAAAGGUCCAAAUAUACCCUCCAUUAUAACCCGUAACCCGACCCAAAUUUUGUUUCUAUAAAUUCCCCAAAAUGCAUUGCAGAUACUUUUAUUCAGUUUCUUAAAAUUGGAUUUGUUCACUAUUUGAAGAAUUGAUAAAUUUAGGAAAUUGUUUGGAAUGUUAUUGAGCUUUGAAGCUAAAAGUAUUGUCAAUUUGAUGAAUGGACGGGUGGAAUUGGAGUUGAAAUGGGGUUUUAGGAUAUUGGGAUAAGCAUCGAUACCAUCACCUUUAGGGAUCAUUAAAUAUAUUAAGGUUAUUUAUAUUUAUAAUGUUAACCAAAUUGACCUCAACAAAUAGACCGUCGAAGAGAGUAGUAAUAGUGUCAACAUCAGAUGAGGUGGAAGACACGUUGGAAUAAGAUUAGGAUUUUUUUUUACUUAAGAGAGGACUUCCAACUCAAAUUAUUUUAUGUGAGUUAUAUUGUGACGUGGCAGCUCUUAGUUUUUCAACAACAACAUACCCAAUGUAGUACCACCAAGUAGGGUCUGGAGAGAGUAAAGUGUACGCAGUCCAUACCAUUACCAUAGAUGAAGUAGAGAGGCUAUUUUUGAUUGACCCUCGGGUUAGGACACAUAACAAUAUAACAAAUAAAACAAAUAAAGCAAACAACAAUAAGGGAUAUCAUACCGCUAUAUAAUAAAGGAAAUAAGACCCCUACAGGAUAAAACUAUAAAAUAGCUAUUCAAAAAAUAUAGAUAUCACCAAAACACCAUGAACAUGAGACUACAAGAAACUACAGGUACAGAUGCAAAUAAAGCAUUCUUCCCUACUAUUACAGACGUACUCCUACCUACUAACCCUUUAUCCUAAUUGACGUCCUCCAUAUCUUCCUGUCAAAGGUCAUGUCCUUUGUAAGCUGUAACUGCUCCAUGUCAUGUCUAAUCACCUCCCUCCAAUACUUCUUUAUCCUACCACUACCCUACUUAAAAGCAUCCAUAACCAACCUCUCACGCCUCUGUACUAGAGCAUCUAUGCCUCCCCUCAUCACAUGUCAGAACCAUUGCAGCCUCACAUUUCACAUUUUGUCCUCUACCAAAGUCACUCCCAUCUUCUCCUUAAUAAUAUCGUUUCUAACUCUAUCUCUAUUGAUAAGUCCAUACAUCCAUCGUAAUAUUCUCAUCUCCGCCACUUUUAACUUUUAAAUAUGGGAGUUCUUAACUGGCCAACACUCUGAUCCAUACAACAUAACCCGUUAGACUGCCAUUUUGUAGAAUUUACCUUUCAACUUAGAAGACACAUUCUUAUCACACAAGAAUCCUGAAGCGAUCUUCUAUUUUAACCAUCCUGAAUCAAUACGGUGCGCGACAUCCUUAUCAAUCUCCUCAUUUCCUUGAAUCAUAAAUCCAAGAUACUUAAAACUCUCUCUUUUCUGAAUAACCUGAGAAUCUAGCUUUGCUACUAUGUCUGCCUCAUGCGACAAAUCACUAAACUUAAAUUUCAAAUACUCCAUCUUAAACCUGCUUAACUUAGAUCCUUUAGACUCAAGGGUCUAUAUCCAAAGCUCUAACUUAUCAUUAACUCCUCCCUAAGUCUCAUCAAUUAGUACAAUAUCAUCAACAAAUAACAUACACCAAGGUACCUCCCCUUGAAUUCACCAUGUCUAAAUAUUCUUCAUUAAGGCAAGUAAAACGAGCUAAGAAUCGAUCCCUGGUGCAACCGUGUCAAAAUAGAAAAGUGCUCAGAAUCUCCUUCUACCGUCCUCACACGAGUCUUCACGAUGUCGUACAUUCCUAAAUCAACCUAGUAUACGUCAUGGGCACCCCUCCAAGCACCUCUAUAAGAAUCUCUCUGGGAUAUAAUGUGACAUGGCAACUCUUAAUUUUGAGGGGUAAAAAUGAGUUUAUUCACUAUAUUAAAGUGUGAAGAAUCUUUAAAAAGUGCUUUAAACUGUUACACUUUAGUAAAAAUCUUCACAAUAGAUAAAAUUAUUUAAUUUUAAAUACUCAAAGGUUAUACGUGCGAGAAACGUGUGGUUAAACUAGUUUUAAUAAAACAAGGAAAGGUUUUACUAAUAAAUAUUUAAUUCUUAAUUCUUAAAUAUUAGAAAAUAGUAAAAAGAUGAUCUUGUCUAUUGCAGUCUUUUAAUGAAGGAAAGAAAGUUCAAAUAAUAUUAUAAGACCCUUCGCACCUUAAAUAUGGUAUAGAUAGAUAUAGAUAUAGAUAUCUCACACCAAAAAAUCCCUAAAAUUAUUACACCCUCUAGUCCAAAAUAAAUAAAUUAUUCAGUUAUUUUUUAGUAUUCAAAAUAAAUGAAUUGUUCAUUCUUCAAGAGGCAUGUUAAUUUUUUUUUUUUCAAUUUUAUUCUUUCAUUUAAUGAGGUUCUUAAGUACUUCUCAUUUUCUAAAAGAAUUAUUAAAAGAAUAAUAGUGAAAAGUAACCUAUAAUUUAUGUCCUAAUGAUUUUUUAAGGAGUGUACCAUAUUCCAACAAUUCAUUUAUUUUGAACAAGAGGGAGUAACUUUUAAUAGAUUUUAAAGAAGCCAAAGCUAAUAAGUGAAGGGACUUUUUUGAACUUACACUCAAACAUAAUGGACUAUUUUAGUCAUUUUUAUCAUAUUAAAUCCUAGAUGUAAUUUUUUUUUUUAGAAAAUGUCAUAAAUAGUCCCUUAACUAUAAUAAUAGGUCAAAAAUAGUUCAUUAAUUAUGCACUUAUCAGUUUUGGUCCUUAAACUAUUUAAAAACUUAUCAAGUUUGAUAUUUGACUAUUUUUUUAUAAAAACAACAUAGGAUUUAUAUUAAUGAAAUUCUUUCUUUCGUGAAAUUAAAUCGUAAUUCAUUUCCUCAAUUGUUUCUCUCUCCUUACCACCAUUUUCCUCAAAUUCCUCUUUUGAAAAAAAUCCAUAACCUCAUCAAUUAAAAAUAAAAAUUUCUCAAAAUAGAAGACACAAAUUCUAAUUAAAAAAAAAUAUUGUUGUUGAUAAUGACUUGAAUAUGUUAUGUUCCGGAGAAGAUGACAAUAACAACAAAGUUCGACGCAAGAACAAACUUUUAUUAUCAUUAAAGACAAGUUAAACAAAGCAAAAUUCAAUACGGAGAUUUUGACCAUGUUCCGAGUAAUUUAAAUAAAGGAGCCAGAGAAAAUUAAUAACAAAAAUGACAAAAUCCUGGGAAAAACUAGAAAAAAGAGAAUCUCCUGGAGGCAGGGUUCCGUUUUGUAAUACCCCAAACUUUUCCUAGCUUAAACUCGCCCCUAAAAUAUCAAGGACUAGCUUCUAAAAUGAAUGAUGUUUAUUUCAUGUGGAAUUUUUCAUAUUUCGACUUUCCAUGGUGUGAGGAAUUGAAUAAGCUUUCCAACGGUAUAAUAUUCGCCUAAAUCUGAUAACCGAGUAAGAAGUUAUGAAUAUUUUAAGUUUCAGUCAUAAAACACCAUCAUUUCAGUCAUCGGCAUGUCGCAGAGCCAGUUUAAAUGAUAAUUGUCAAAAACCAGUGGGCCUCUGCGAUGUUGGCGCAUUGCGUCAUAGGUUUAGUUCAAAAUUGUCAAUUAUUAGUGAUCCCACGCGAUACCACCGCAUCGCGGUGGGCUUCCAGGUCGCAAACAAGGUGGAAGCGCGAUUUCACCGCGUCGCGCCAUAGUGCAUUUUCCCAAUUGUCCGAUUCCAGUGAAACGGCGCGAUAGCGCUGCGUCGCGCCAGGUGCCAAUUUUGGAAAAUUUCGACGAAAAUUAAAAGUUUCACCCAAGGUUAAAAUAGUCCUUUUCCUAUUAUUUUAAUUCGCCUAGGUUUGGUAUUUAUGUCCUAAAAAUGUUUUUAAUUCAUUAUUUUAAUAACUUUUCCCCCAAAUCAAAGAAUAUUCUCUCUCAAUCAAGAACCCUAGCUCUCCAAUUCAAGGUGAAACCUCAAGAGCUCACCAAGAACUUCAAGAAAUUUACCCAUUAAGGUAUAUUAAAUGUUCAUCCAUGGGUUUCUUUCACCCAUGGAGUCCAAGUACCCACUUUAAUUUCGAAAGUUAUCAUCCUUUCAAGAUUUAUGAUUUUAAAUUGUGAUUUCACCCAUGAAUCUCUAUGAACUAUGAUUUAACGUUAUGUAUGCUUGAAAUUAAUGUUGUUAAUCACUUUCCUACAUUCCAAUGCCACCAUUCAUGGAAUUAAAUCAAGACUUACGUUGUAAAUAUUGAAAUCAUGUUAUUAUUUCAAGUUUUAUACUAUUCCCAUGAUUUGACUAAACCAUGCAUAUUAAGUGUUUGAUAAAAUGCCUACAAGAGUGAAUAUUUACUACAAGCCUUCAUGCUAUGUCCUCCAAGUUUUGGUGUCUUUUCCUAUUAUUGCUUUUGAGUCCUGAGGCUAUUGAAUACCCGAAAACCAUAGCUGUUUACUCAGUCUAGUCUCAGUAUAGUAUAGAAUAGUUUUCAAAAUAUACUAUGAGUAUUUUCAGAACAGUCAGAUAUGAGUCAGUUAAACUCAGAACAGUCUAGUAUUUCAGUGUCAUUCAGUUGGGAGUAGUAUUUAGCACCGAACGAGUGUAGGGGUGGUGGAUUCCCUGUCAAAUAGGCAGAGUCACUAAUAACAGUCCAUAUACUCCAGAACUACAUAGCCACCGUAGGAUAUGAGAAGUCAACCGUCAGAUUAGGCUUGACUAUCUCGCAGGAGUCACCCGUUAGUUCAGGCUUGACACCCUUAGUCCUUUGAAUAAUAUAUUAGUUUAGUGGAUCCACACAGUCAGUGUUAGUACCCGUGGCACGGUAUUAACAUACUUCCAAGUGAGGUUACAUUUUGGACCCCGAUUAGCUCAAAUUGGGGCAUGUCGGUUAGAUGAUACUUU
rnacentral:lncRNA from 1 species